rnacentral:misc_RNA from 1 species
GAUGAAGAACUAGCGAAAUGCGAUACGUAAUGUGAAUUGCAGAAUUCAGUGAAUCAUCGAAUCUUUGAACGCAUAUUGCGCUCUCUGGUAUUCCGGAGAGCAUGCUUGUUUGAGUAUCAGUAAACACCUCAACUCCCUUUUCUUUUUUGAAAUUGGAGCUGGACUUGAGUGAUCCCAACGCUUUCUUCCAAGAAAGUGGCGGGUUGCUUGAAAUGCAGGUGCAGCUGAACUUUUCUCUGAGCUAUAAGCAUAUCUAUUUAGUCUGCCUAAAAAACAGAUUAUUACCUUUGCUGCAGCUAACAUAAAGGAGACUAGUUCUUGUGCUGACUGAUGCAGGAUUCACAGAGACAGCUUCGGCUGACUUUGUAAACUCGAUCUCAAAUCAAGUAAGACUACCCGCUGAACUUAAGCAUAUCAAUAAGCGGAGGA